CCUACGGGAGGCAGCAGUGGGGAAUUUUGGACAAUGGGCGAAAGCCUGAUCCAGCAAUGCCGCGUGAGUGAAGAAGGCCUUCGGGUUGUAAAGCUCUUUUGUCAGGGAAGAAACGGUGAGAGCUAAUAUCUCUUGCUAAUGACGGUACCUGAAGAAUAAGCACCGGCUAACUACGUGCCAGCAGCCGCGGUAAUACGUAGGGUGCAAGCGUUAAUCGGAAUUACUGGGCGUAAAGCGUGCGCAGGCGGUUUUGUAAGUCUGAUGUGAAAUCCCCGGGCUCAACCUGGGAAUUGCAUUGGAGACUGCAAGGCUAGAAUCUGGCAGAGGGGGGUAGAAUUCCACGUGUAGCAGUGAAAUGCGUAGAUAUGUGGAGGAACACCGAUGGCGAAGGCAGCCCCCUGGGUCAAGAUUGACGCUCAUGCACGAAAGCGUGGGGAGCAAACAGGAUUAGAUACCCUGGUAGUCCACGCCCUAAACGAUGUCUACUAGUUGUCGGGUCUUAAUUGACUUGGUAACGAAGCUAACGCGUGAAGUAGACCGCCUGGGGAGUACGGUCGCAAGAUUAAACGUCAAAGGAAUUGACGG
rnacentral:rRNA from 1 species